AGUGAACGCUGGCGGUAGGCCUAACACAUGCAAGUCGAACGGCAGCACAGUAAGAGUUUGCUCUUACGGGUGGCGGGUGGCGGACGGGUGAGGAAUACAUCGGAAUCUACUUUUUCUGGGGGGAUAACGUAGGGAAACUUACGCUAAUACCGCAUACGACCUACGGGUGAAAGCAGGGGAUCUUCAGACUUUUCGCGAUUGAAUUAGCUGAUGUCGGAUUAGCUAGUUGGCGGGGUAAAGGCCCACCAAGGCGACGCAACGUAGCUGGACUGAGAGGAUGGUCAGCCACACUGGAACUGAGACACGGUCCAGAAUCCUACGGGGGGGAGCAGUGGGGAAUAUUGGACAAUGGGCGGAAGCCUGAUCCAACCAUACCGCGUGGGGGAAGAAGGCCCUCCGGUUGGAAAGCCCUUUUGUUGGGAAAGAAAAGCAGCAGGUUAAUACCCCGCUGUUCUGACGGUACCCAAAGAAUAAGCACCGGCUAACUUCGUG
rnacentral:rRNA from 1 species